rnacentral:rRNA from 1 species
AUGCUGUCGCAGUUCAACAGUUCUCUUUGGGUGCAGGAAGGCGACGUCCAUGAACACCAGGGCCUCGGUCACGACCAGGCGGCGGUGAUGGGGCUGGAGGCCGGCAACCAGCACCUUAUGCCUAUGCCCUCGGGCGGAGGCGGGGGGUUCCCCGCCCUACCGAUGCUUGAUGAGGUAAGCUGGUACUUCAACCCGGGCGCGGUCGGCGACGCCGCCGGGAACGGGUCCAUGAUCCCGGCGCCGGCAACUAUGGAAGCGUCGGGAUCUAGCUCCGGAUUCGGAGAUGCUUCCCAGAUGUUCCCGCUCCUCAACCCGGGAGUGGGAGGUACGGGACCGCUCGACGUCCCUGGGUUCAACCUCGACAUCUCCGGCGACCUCUCGGCGUUUCUUGGCGCCGGGAACGCGCCGAACGCAUCCCUGCUGCCGCAUGGGAACGCAGACUUCCUCGGCUCGUUCGGUGGCUUCGGCACCGCACCGGCACAAACGACGGACUUCGGUGGCCUCGCUGGUUUCGACUUGGUCGAUACCGGCGCCCAGGGCUGGAGCGGCCCAUCCUCAGAGGGGCCGGCUGCUCCGGCGCCCCAGACCGCUGCCUUCUCUGGGCAGGGCAACGCGAAGGUGCUGAGGCCGCUGGAGAACUUCCCGGCGUCGGGCGCGCAGCCAACGCUCUUCCAGAAGCGCGCACUCCGGCGUAACGCCGGCGAAGAGGACGGCGAGAGGAGGAAGCGUAAGGCAGCGGAGCCUGACAUAAUACUCGACGACGCCGACGAUGACAUCAUCAGCAUCGACGCGUCCGGGCUGAAUUACGACUCGGAGGACGGGAGGGACGUUGAGGAGAGCGGCAGGAAGGACGGCAAGGAGUCGAACGCCAACAGCACGGUCACCGGCGGCGCUGCGGCUGAAGGGAGCGGGAAGAAGAAGGGGAUGCCGGCCAAGAACCUCAUGGCUGAGCGCCGUCGCCGGAAGAAGCUCAACGACCGGCUGUACGCGCUUCGGUCUGUCGUGCCCAGGAUCAGCAAGAUGGACAGGGCUUCUAUUCUUGGUGAUGCAAUCGAGUACCUCAAGGAGCUCACGCAGAAGAUCAAUGUUCUUCAGAAUGAGCUGGAGGCAUCUCCUUCCACGUCCUCGCUGCCUCCGACACCUACAAGCUUCCGCCCUCCGACUCCUACAAUGCCCGCGCUGCCAUCUCGCGUGAAGGAGGAACUGACAAGCUCUCCUGCUCAGGAACCACGUGUUGAGGUUAAGCUUCGUGAAGGUCGGGUCGUCAACAUCCGCAUGAUGUGCUCUCGCAGGCCAGGUGUUGUGCAUUCUUCCUUGAAGGCCCUCGAAGGCCUUGGUCUUGACGUGCAGCAAGCUGUUAUCAGCUAUUUCAAUGACUUUACAUUGGAUGUCUCCAAGGCUGAGCAGUGCAAGGAUGGCCCUGGUCCUCAGGCUGAGGAAAUCAAGGCGGUGCUCCUGCAAUCUGCGGGGUUCCAUCCAGCGGCCUAG